rnacentral:lncRNA from 1 species
AAUUUACAUCGUCUCUCUUUAUAUUGGCCAAUGUGGCUCUCACUUCCUAUCCCUCCAUUUCAACAGAAGAAGAGAUGAGAAGAAUCUGUUCACCAAUAAUCAAUUGACUGCCAGAACCCAGGUCUUCUUUCUCCCUUCCUUACACAUAGAAUUCUAGAAGAUCCAACAGUAAGAUUCAUAAAAUAGAGCGAAUGAGACCUGGGGAAUUAAUGUUAAUUACAGCAUCUUCAGCUGUGCUAGGCUAAUUACAUGGAUUUUCAUUUGACCCUUAGGAGUCUGUGGUUUUCCUACUGCCUCACACCUGCAUGUGAAAAGAAAUGUGAUUAGCUGAACGUACAUUAUACAGUAUAAAAUGGCUUCUGUGUAUUUAUCCUUUGCAUUUAAAAAAUUACUCAACUAGAUAAGUAUUCUUUUAUGACUGAUAAGGUCAUUUUGUCACUAUAAACCAUUAUAAAUGAUAUGUCUAAUCUGCCAAAAUGCCUUGAAAUGCCAUCCAUGCUCUUUAAAUGUUAGUAAUGAGAAUUAAUUCUCAAGAAGAAUUCGACUUGCUGGCUCAUUCUUGUCACUUCUAUCCCUUAGAUCCCAUUUCAUCUCCAAAUAGCUUGUUUUCUUUUUUUCUCAGCUCACAGGUACCAUCUGAACAGCACCUUGCCUGCUCAUCUAGGAGGCAGGCUCUUUUCCGGUCUAGUGUGUGCUUAGAGGGCACAUCUGUUGGUUUCUGAGUAGCUUACAAGUGGGUAGCUUUCAGGAUAGUGGUAGCUACAAAUAGCAGCCUUGGUCAUUUAGAAACUAAUUGAUUUUCCUCAUUGGAUCAGAGGCUUUUCAUGGAACAAAUAUUCUUACACAGGGUUUUAUUUUACUUGGGUUGAGUGUAUACACUGACCAGUGUGAUCAGGAACUGGGUCCCAGGUGUGUGGCUUACUGAGGAAUUUGAGAAAUCAUUUCUUUCCUUAGGGUAAAGGGAUCCAUAAAGUUUUAAGAGAGGAAGGUAUGCUUUAGUAUAAAGGGCAUGCAUUAUUUUAAAGUGGUAUACAAAUAGGGAAGGUGGUAUUUUAAACUGUAUGUUCCAGAUCUAAGUUUAAAAUUUAAACCUCGAUUUUACCACACAUAGCUCCAUCUAUGGGGUUGUGCAGUAUUUUUACCAAAGAACUGACUCUAUAGGUAACCAGACAUCCAUGGCUAACUUCCAGUUCACAAGAGUAAUUUAAGCAACACCAUGGGCAGGCAAACAGGUAAGCCCAUAGGUGGGACUGUAUUGGGUUCUUUUUUUUUUUUUUUAAUUGAGAUGUAAUUGACAUAGAACAUUGUAUAAGUUUAAGGUGUAUAGCCUGUUGAUUUGAUAACAUUUAUAUACUGCAGUGUGAUUACCACUGUAGUGUUAGCUAACACCUCUAUCUAAUUAUUAUUUCUUUUUUGUGGUGAGAACAAUUAAGAUCUAGUCCCUUAGCAACUUUGAUGAGUUUAUAAGGCAGUAAACAAAAAGGACAUGUUGAAGGGUAGAGGGAAGACUGAUUAGUCUGGUAAAUAUACAUAAGAAACUUAAAGAAACAUAGCAACCAAACGUAGCAUGUGGACUUUGAAAUAUGAUUGAUCUGUCAAAAGACAUUCCUGAGAUAAGCAGGAAUUGAAUGUAGAUGGAUAUUUGAUAAUACUGAGGUGUACUGUAAAAUCUUAGGUGUGACAAUGGCAUUGUGAGUAUAUAAGAUUAUAGUUCUCACUGUGUGGCCUCAGAUUAGCAUCACCAGCAUCCCCUGGGAAUACAUUAGAAAUGAAAAAUCCUCAGCCCCACCCCUAACCUACUGAAUAAGAAACUCUUGUGGGUGGUCAAUAAAACCCAUGAGAAUCACUGAUGUAAGAAAAUAUGUGUAUUUUUAAAGAGAUACAUACAGGGGUAUAGAGGAGUGAAGUGAUAUAAUGUCUGGGAAUGGAUUUAUAAUACUUUAGUUAAAAUAAAGGUAAGGAUUUGAUGAAGCCAGUGUGGCAAAAUCUUUUUAAAUUUUAUGGAAGUAUAGUUGCUUUACAAUGUUGUGUUAAUUUCUGCUAUACAAUGAAGUGAUUCAUAUAUAUGAUACAUAUAUAUAUAUUCCUUUUUUUUUAUGGCUGCACCUGCGGCAUAGGAAAGUUCCCAGGCUAGGGAUUGAACUGGUGCUUCGGCUGUUGGCCUGUGCCACAGCCAGGGCAACUCAGAAUCCAAGCCGCAUCUGUGGCCACAGCUUGCAGCAAUGCUGGAUCCUUAACCCACUGAGCAAGGCCAGGGAUCGAACCUGCAUCCUCACAGACACUAUGUUGGGUUUUUAACCUGCUGAGCCACAAUGGGAACUCAUAUGUAUAUGUGUGUGUGUGUGUAUGAGUACAUAUACUCAUAUGUAUAUGUGUGUGUGUAUCUUUUUCAUCUUCUUUUCCAUUAUAGUUUAAUCACAGGAUAUUGAAUAUUGCUCCCUUGUGCCAUGGAGGAGACCUUGUUGAUUGAUCUUAUAUAUAAUAGUGUGUAUCUGCCAACCCUCAACUCCCAAUCCUUCCCUCCCCAACCCCCUCCUGCAUGGCAACCACAGGUCUGUUCUUCCUGUCUAUGAGUCUAUUUCUGCUUUAAUGUUCAUUUUAGAUUAUGUGGGUAAAAUCUUGAUGAUUGUUUUGUUGGGGUUGUGCAUUUUUGUGGCUCCAUUUUAUGGAACUCUAUUUUUUGUAUAUACUUGGGAAUAUUCAUUUAAAAACAUUUUGGAAUCAUUACCACCACCCCCCCCACACACACAGAGGACUCUCAGAGAAAACAACCAAAUAAAACUUGAUUUUAGAUUUAAUGAAAGCUUCCAGUUUGCCUAGAGCAAAUUGGGCUUUAGUCUUGACUUGGCUGUUAAUUGCUUUGCUGACUGGUCUUGAUAAAUUGGUUUCCCUGGAACCUCAUCAUCAUUUUUUUUUUUUUUUAAUGGCCACACCUCUGGCAUAUGGAAAUUUCCAGCCCAGGGACUGAAUCCAGCCUGCAGCUGUGACCUGUGGCACAGCUGCGGCAAUGCCAGGUCCUAAACCCAUCACACCAGGCUGGGGAUCAAACCUGUACCUCUUCAGUGACCUGAGCCACUGCAGUUGGAUUCUUAACCCACUGGGCCACAGCAGGAGCUUCAAUCUCAUCAUUCUUAUGUGUCAGGUAAGGGGGUUCUGUAUGCAGUUUGUUGUGAGGACUCUUCAAGCCUACUGUCCUUGAUUGUCUGGGGGUUUGGGUGAGUGGUCAAACUCCCCAGAACUUCUCAAGUCUGGAAUGUGGUCUGGGGGUGAGCUCUCUCUUCCUGUGCCCCAGCUCUGCCCCCCUUUCUCUGGUUUCCAUCCAUCUGCCACCUCAGAGGUCAAAGACAUAUCCUCUGGGAUGACAGAAGCCCAGGUACAUGGCCCUCUGGCAGGGUGGAGGGAGUGUGGAAUUUCAUGAGGAAGAUCCCCGGGGACUUGCAAUGUGAGGUGCCUUUCAGGUCAGGUCAUAGGUGGCGAGGGCCCAGGGCAGAGUGUGGGACCUGCUGCUCCUGUCAUCAGCCCAGCCCUUCCUCUUGCCUCUCCUCCUACAGGGAAGGACAUAGCAGGGUACAUUCUGAGUGUGUUUGGUAACCCUAAUCCAUAGCUCUCAGGCUUCAAGAAUGCUGUUAAUCAGAAUCAUCAAAGCCAUGGACCCAGUUUGACAGACAGCUGUGAUAUCCUCAGUGCUCUGAGGAGUCAGGUUAUCUAGUUAAGCAUGAAAAUGCAGAACUGCCACAUUGAGGGGCAAGACAAAAGGAUGGCCAUAUGGCCCUGGGCAAGGCUUUAGGGGAUACAUGCGGUAAGGUGGUCUUGGGGAGGGGAGGAGAAAAGAGAAAAUUAUGGAAAUGUAAGAGCAGAAUGUGGAGUUUCCCUUGUGGCACAGUGGAAAUGAAUCUGACUGGUAUCCAUGAGGAUGUGUGUUCAAUCCCUGGCCUUGCUCAGUGGGUUGGGGAUCCAGUGUUGCUGUGAGCUGUGGUGUAGCUCGCAUACGUGGCUCAGAUCCCAUGUUGUUGUGACUGUGGUGUAGGCCAGCAGCUGCAGCUCCAAUUUUGCCCCAACCUGGGAACUUCCCUAUGCCGCAAGUGUGGCCCUAAAAGC